rnacentral:rRNA from 1 species
GCAUGGUUGUCGUCAGCUCGUGUCGUGAGAUGUUGGGUUAAGUCCCGCAACGAGCGCAACCCUUAAGCUUAGUUGCCAUCAUUAAGUUGGGCACUCUAAGUUGACUGCCGGUGACAAACCGGAGGAAGGUGGGGAUGACGUCAAAUCAUCAUGCCCCUUAUGAUUUGGGCUACACACGUGCUACAAUGGACAAUACAAAGGGCAGCGAAACCGCGAGGUCAAGCAAAUCCCAUAAAGUUGUUCUCAGUUCGGAUUGUAGUCUGCAACUCGACUACAUGAAGCUGGAAUCGCUAGUAAUCGUAGAUCAGCAUGCUACGGUGAAUACGUUCCCGGGUCUUGUACACACCGCCCGUCACACCACGAGAGUUUGUAACACCCGAAGCCGGUGGAGUAACCUUUUAGGAGCUAGCCGUCGAAGGUGGGACAAAUGAUUGGGGUGAAGUCGUAACAAGGUAGCCGUAUCGGAAGGUGCGGCU